ACGUAAAUAAGCGCAGACAUCGAGAAACUAGGCGUUGCGCAGACCAAGCAGCCUAUUACAUUUCAGUAUCGCGAGAGCAAGUCGAAACGAGUUAAUUCGAACAGCUCUCGCGAUAGAUUAGUAUUAUACGCCGGUCGAUCUGCGCAACGGCGCUUGAGAUCCCCAACAAUAAAAAAAGAGCAAGUAAACCUUAUAACUGCACCUCAAAAACAUCUGUUCUCAGUCAAUAACCGGCGAGCAACAAACCAUAAACUAGAACAAUAUCAACGACAACGCACUCUGAGGAUGGUGGUCUGAGGGAGAACCGCUGGUACAGUUUCCAGGUUUAAAUGCAUACAUCUGACAGUGGUACGAAAACACAAACAGCGGCUCGGACAAGACAGCACCGGGUUCGGGCCACUGCUAAGGAGAAACACGCAGAGUACACUCAAAAAGCACGGUCAGUGGGGAUGAUGGAAUGGUGUGGUUUAGGCAGUGAUCAUAAAAAAUGGAUGUAGUCCUACUUCUGGAUGCUCUCAAGGUGCCCUCAUUCAGACUGCUUGUGUCUCAGGCACAGACGACACACA